GCGGUAAGCACCAACGAGGAUAAUACGCCGUUCACGUAUUAUCCUCGAUUUCCAUAAGCAUCAAGCGAUAUUAUCCUUCAUUUUAAUACCGGUAUUAACUUUAAUACGCCGAUUUCGACGUAUUAAAGAUAAUCCGAGAUUUCCUUAUUAUGGCUGCGUGCGCAUUAAACGAUUGCACACACCAAGGCACAGAAAAGAAACGAAACGUCAAACGAAAAAAAUCAUAACAACCGUCGGAACGAUCGGAACAAUUUCGCGGAUCGGAGUUCUUUUUCAUCUUUUGCGUGAGCUUGUUCGGCCGGAUCCUGGAUCAUCGGAACCGCUGUUCACAACCCUUUCUAAGGUGCAACCUGAUACUCCCGUCAGUUAUAAUAGGAUGUUACCGGGGCCACAAGAAGAAGGCAAUCAUCGAUGGCAUCUUGAUAACAACAUCCAAGGGAAAAAAGUGGACGGAUGGUGGACAUUGUUGAAGGGUUGAGCGAGUUCCAGGAAGAACAAUGAUUACCUGUAGUAAGCCGAUACGUGAUCCGGUACUGAGUAUCCGGUAGAUAACCCCGAAAUAUGUUUCAUCUCUCGCCGUAUAAUUUUAUCAUAAAAAUAUAAAUUCGAAUUGUAAACUAAAA